rnacentral:antisense_RNA from 1 species
UUAUGGUGGGCUGGAUGGGGGAGCCGAAAGGCUCGCCGGGUUCGUUGAAGGCCGGUUGUUGCAACCCUGUUCAGUCCACCACCA